rnacentral:rRNA from 1 species
UACGUAGGGUGCAAGCGUUGUUCGGAAUCAUUGGGCGUAAAGCGUGAGUAGGUGGUUUGCUAAGUCGGGUGUGAAAUCCCUGGGCUCAACCCAGGAAGUGCAUCCGAAACUGGCCGGCUAGAAGAUGGUAGAGGAAGGUGGAAUUCCAAGUGUAGAGGUGAAAUUCGUAGAUAUUUGGAGGAAUACCGGCGGCGAAGGCGGCCUUCUGGACCACUCUUGACACUGAGACACGAAAGCGUGGGUAGCAAACAGG